CGGACGGGUGAGUAACGCGUGGGUAACCUGCCUUGUACUGGGGGACAACAGUUAGAAAUGACUGCUAAUACCGCAUAAGCGCACAGUAUCGCAUGAUACAGUGUGAAAAACUCCGGUGGUACAAGGUGGACCCGCGUCUGAUUAGCUAGUUGGUAAGGUAACGGCUUACCAAGGCGACGAUCAGUAGCCGACCUGAGAGGGUGACCGGCCACAUUGGGACUGAGACACGGCCCAA
rnacentral:rRNA from 1 species